AACGAACGCUGGCGGCGCGCCUAAUACAUGCAAGUCGAGCGAGAAGACGUAGCAAUACGUUUGUAAAGCGGCGAACGGGUGAGGAAUACAUGGGUAACCUACCCUCGAGUGGGGAAUAACUAGCCGAAAGGUUAGCUAAUACCGCGUACGCUCCUUGGACUUCGGUUCAGGGAGGAAAGCGAUACCGUGGGUAUCGCGCUCUUGGAUGGGCUCAUGUCCUAUCAGCUUGUUGGUGAGGAACGGCUCACCAAGGCUUCGACGGGUAGCUGGUCUGAGAGGACGAUCAGCCACACUGGCACUGCGACACGGGCCAGACUCCUACGGGAGGCAGCAGUAAGGAAUAUUGCGCAAUGGGCGAAAGCCUGACGCAGCGACGCCGCGUGGGGGAUGAAGGUCUUCGGAUUGUAAACCCCUUUCGGGAGGGAAGAUGGAACGAGCAAUCGUUCGGACGGUACCUCCAGAAGCAGCCACGGCUAACUUCGUGCCAGCAGCCGCCGC
rnacentral:rRNA from 1 species